rnacentral:rRNA from 1 species
GUAACCUGCCCAUCAAAAGGGGAUAACACUUGGAAACAGGUGCUAAUACCGUAUAACAAUCGAAACCGCAUGGUUUUGAUUUGAAAGGCGCUUUCGGGUGUCGCUGAUGGAUGGACCCGCGGUGCAUUAGCUAGUUGGUGAGGUAACGGCUCACCAAGGCCACGAUGCAUAGCCGACCUGAGAGGGUGAUCGGCCACAUUGGGACUGAGACACGGCCCAAACUCCUACGGGAGGCAGCAGUAGGGAAUCUUCGGCAAUGGACGAAAGUCUGACCGAGCAACGCCGCGUGAGUGAAGAAGGUUUUCGGAUCGUAAAACUCUGUUGUUAGAGAAGAACAAGGAUGAGAGUAACUGUUCAUCCCUUGACGGUAUCUAACCAGAAAGCCACGGCUAACUACGUGCCAGCAGCCGCGGUAAUACGUAGGUGGCAAGCGUUGUCCGGAUUUAUUGGGCGUAAAGCGAGCGCAGGCGGUUUCUUAAGUCUGAUGUGAAAGCCCCCGGCUCAACCGGGGAGGGUCAUUGGAAACUGGGAGACUUGAGUGCAGAAGAGGAGAGUGGAAUUCCAUGUGUAGCGGUGAAAUGCGUAGAUAUAUGGAGGAACACCAGUGGCGAAGGCGGCUCUCUGGUCUGUAACUGACGCUGAGGCUCGAAAGCGUGGGGAGCAAACAGGAUUAGAUACCCUGGUAGUCCACGCCGUAAACGAUGAGUGCUAAGUGUUGGAGGGUUUCCGCCCUUCAGUGCUGCAGCUAACGCAUUAAGCACUCCGCCUGGGGAGUACGACCGCAAGGUUGAAACUCAAAGGAAUUGACGGGGGCCCGCACAAGCGGUGGAGCAUGUGGUUUAAUUCGAAGCAACGCGAAGAACCUUACCAGGUCUUGACAUCCUUUGACCACUCUAGAGAUAGAGCUUCCCCUUCGGGGGCAAAGUGACAGGUGGUGCAUGGUUGUCGUCAGCUCGUGUCGUGAGAUGUUGGGUUAAGUCCCGCAACGAGCGCAACCCUUAUUGUUAGUUGCCAUCAUUCAGUUGGGCACUCUAGCAAGACUGCCGGUGACAAACCGGAGGAAGGUGGGGAUGACGUCAAAUCAUCAUGCCCCUUAUGACCUGGGCUACACACGUGCUACAAUGGGAAGUACAACGAGUUGCGAAGUCGCGAGGCUAAGCUAAUCUCUUAAAGCUUCUCUCAGUUCGGAUUGCAGGCUGCAACUCGCCUGCUUGAAGCUUGAAUCGCUUGUAAUCGCGGAUCAGCA